rnacentral:rRNA from 1 species
CAGAGUNUAAAAANCUCCGNAAAUAAGGGCUGGGCAAGNCCNGGUNCCAGCCNCCGCGGUAANACCGGCNCCCCNAGUGGUGGCCACUNUUAUUGGGCUUAAAGCNUCCGUAGCCGGUCCGGUAAGUCCCUGUGAAAAUCCUCAGGCUCAACCUGAGGAAAUCCGGGGAUACUGCCAGACUUGGGGCCGGGAGACGCAGAGGGUACUCCAGGGGUAGCGGUGAAAUGCUGUAAUCCCUGGGGGACCACCAGUGGCGAAGGCGCUCCGCGAGAACGGGUCCGACGGUGAGGGACGAAAGCCAGGGGAGCGAACGGGAUUAGAUACCCCGGUAGUCCUGGCCGUAAACGCUGCCCGCUAGGGUGUUGCACGCUCCUACGGGGGCGUGCAGUGCCGAAGCGAAAGGUGAUAAAGCGCGCCGCCUGGGAAGUUCGUACNUAAU